rnacentral:rRNA from 2 species
GCCGAGCACUCUAAAUAGACUGCCUUCGUAAGGAGGAGGAAGGUGUGGACGACGUCAAGUCAUCAUGGCCCUUAUGCCCAGGGCGACACACGUGCUACAAUGGCAUAUACAAUGAGACGCAAUACCGCGAGGUGGAGCAAAUCUAUAAAAUAUGUCCCAGUUCGGAUUGUUCUCUGCAACUCGAGAGCAUGAAGCCGGAAUCGCUAGUAAUCGUAGAUCAGCCAUGCUACGGUGAAUACGUUCCCGGGUCUUGUACUCACCGCCCGUCACACCAUGGGAGUUGAUUUCACUCGAAGCCGGAAUACUAAACUAGUUACCGUCCACAGUGGAAUCAGCGACUGGGGUGAAGUCGUAACAAGGUAACCGUAGGAGAACCUGCGGUUGGAUCACCUCCUUUCUAG